CACAAGAAGAAUUUAUUACUAGACAACAUUGUCCAUUCUUUGGCAUGAUGCUAGAGCGCAACUCUAUUCGCAAACGACGCAAACACAAUGAUGGUUAAAAAAAGUGCCGCCGCAGUAGGCUUUCUUGACAUGGUUCCACACAUGCUUGCAACACGAAUGACAUGUGAAACCCAUGCACAACCUGCGCUUGCAAUGGUGACUGUGCCCUUUGCAAUGCUCUGGAGACAACAUACAUACGUCAGUAAGUGAAUUCCAAAUUAAAAGGGUCCAAAGAAAUUUGUGCAGUGAGUUAACAAUAUUUAUGAUGACUUUUUGUACUCUGGUUGGAAGGAAACAAGAAACACACACUUAUUAUAGAGAACAGGGAUACCGAUUUCGUACCAGCGUGAGUGGGAUUUCCUAGCAGCACCAACACCAUAAGGCAAAGCAGCAUAGUUUUGUCCUCCAUAAGAUCAAACACAAACUUCCUCUUUUUCUCGUUUCUAGUAUUUGGGCUUCAAGAUGAGUGCUAUAUUUAAAGACUUAUUAUAGAGAACAUUUAUUCCUAGUUCACUCAAAGAAGAU
rnacentral:lncRNA from 1 species